rnacentral:rRNA from 1 species
GCACAAGCGGUGGAGCAUGUGGUUUAAUUCGAAGUAACGCGAAGAACCUUACCAGGUCUUGACAUCCCGAUGCUAUUUCUAGAGACAGAAAGUUACUUCGGUACAUCGGUGACAGGUGGUGCAUGGUUGUCGUCAGCUCGUGUCGUGAGAUGUUGGGUUAAGUCCCGCAACGAGCGCAACCCCUAUUGUUAGUUGCCAUCAUUCAGUUGGGCACUCUAGCGAGACUGCCGGUAAUAAACCGGAGGAAGGUGGGGAUGACGUCAAAUCAUCAUGCCCCUUAUGACCUGGGCUACACACGUGCUACAAUGGUUGGUACAACGAGUUGCGAGUCGGUGACGGCGAGCUAAUCUCUUAAAGCCAAUCUCAGUUCGGAUUGUAGGCUGCAACUCGCCUACAUGAAGUCGGAAUCGCUAGUAAUCGCGGAUCAGCACGCCGCGGUGAAUACGUUCCCGGGCCUU